AGUAAUGCCUAGGAAUCUGCCUGGUAGUGGGGGAUAACGUCCGGAAACGGGCGCUAAUACCGCAUACGUCCUGAGGGAGAAAGUGGGGGAUCUUCGGACCUCACGCUAUCAGAUGAGCCUAGGUCGGAUUAGCUAGUUGGUGGGGUAAAGGCCUACCAAGGCGACGAUCCGUAACUGGUCUGAGAGGAUGAUCAGUCACACUGGAACUGAGACACGGUCCAGACUCCUACGGGAGGCAGCAGUGGGGAAUAUUGGACAAUGGGCGAAAGCCUGAUCCAGCCAUGCCGCGUGUGUGAAGAAGGUCUUCGGAUUGUAAAGCACUUUAAGUUGGGAGGAAGGGCAGUAAGUUAAUACCUUGCUGUUUUGACGUUACCAACAGAAUAAGCACCGGCUAACUUCGUGCCAGCAGCCGCGGUAAUACGAAGGGUGCAAGCGUUAAUCGGAAUUACUGGGCGUAAAGCGCGCGUAGGUGGUUCAGCAAGUUGGAUGUGAAAUCCCCGGGCUCAACCUGGGAACUGCAUCCAAAACUACUGAGCUAGAGUACGGUAGA
rnacentral:rRNA from 1 species